GUGGGGAAUAUUGGACAAUGGGCGCAAGCCUGAUCCAGCCAUGCCGCGUGAGUGAUGAAGGCCUUAGGGUUGUAAAGCUCUUUCAGUAGGGAAGAUAAUGACGGUACCUACAGAAGAAGCCCCGGCUAACUUCGUGCCAGCAGCCGCGGUAAUACGAAGGGGGCUAGCGUUGUUCGGAUUUACUGGGCGUAAAGCGCACGUAGGCGGAUUGGUCAGUUAGAGGUGAAAUCCCGAAGCUCAACUUCGGAACUGCCUUUAAUACUGCCAGUCUCGAGUCCGGAAGAGGUGAGUGGAACUCCUAGUGUAGAGGUGGAAUUCGUAGAUAUUAGGAAGAACACCAGUGGCGAAGGCGGCUCACUGGUCCGGUACUGACGCUGAGGUGCGAAAGCGUGGGGAGCAAACAGGAUUAGAUACCCGUGUAGUCC
rnacentral:rRNA from 1 species